GGGGGUGUAGCUCAGUUGGUAGAGCGUUUGAAUGGCAUUCAAAAGGUCGUGGGUUCGAUUCCCUUCACCUCCA
rnacentral:tRNA from 2 species